AGAUGGCCGAUUCAUCCCCACACGAAGCAGAUGAUGGUGAUGGUGAACUAUAUUUGGGGAGUGAAGCAUCUGUCAUCUUCCUGUCUUUGAUGUUUUGGUCAACUGUUGAGUGUUUUGUGAAGCUCUACAUCUCAGACACAACAGCAGAUUUCAGAGCAGCAGAGACUCUUUCCAGCUCAUCACCGUAGCUACUUUGCAACAGAAAUGAAUGACAGAACAUCUGUGGAGCAUCACAGACUGCAGGAAUCACGAAAUGACGAGCAAAGAGGACGAGAGACAGAAGAGAAGCAGAGCAAGAGACGAGUCAGACGGAGCAGCAUUAAUAAAGACACACCAGACUUUUCUCAUGAUUCAGACAGACCUGCAGAGAUUCAGUUUAAUGAUUCACAGAGAGACGCUCACGGAUGAGAUGAUAAACCAUCAAGCUUUUAUUAAAGCAGAAAACAGCAGGAAGCCCUUAAAGCUUCUGUUUAGUUGGCAGCAGCUUUAUAAGAGUUUCUGGAGAAACAGAGCAUGACGUGCUCAGAGACCGACUGAGAGACCCUAACCCUAACCCUUUUUUUCACCUUGAUAAAUAAGUCAGUCUGUGUAUUUUUGUCUGACCGGUUCAUCCUAAGCUUGUGCUUUCAGAUGCAUUAAAGCGUCUCAAACCGAGCUGCUCUGAAAACACCGGAUCAUGAUCUGCUCACGGUAAAUGAACACAGAUCAAUGAAGUGUAAAUAUUUAUUUCAAAUAUCAAAUCGCAGCCUUUGCCAUUUCAUAAUCGCACUAAGCAAUGUUGUUAUUUAGAUUUUAUUGUGAUUUAUCAUGCAGCCCAAGACUAAACUGUUCUUUUUUCCCACCAUAACGUACAUUGGCUCAUUGUUCAGUGUUUGAUGUUUGUACCGAGUACAUAUUUAAAACACUUGAUUUUCUGACUUCAUUUGGUGUGGUUUUGUAGAUUUUUGGACAUUAUACAUUAUUCCAUAUUAGUAUACACAGUAUUCGUAAGUGAAUUUACUAAUAACAGCAUCAAAGGUUGCAUACAUUUGGUUGGUUCUUGAACUUCAGAGUUCAUAUAAUCUGAGUGUCUGUGAAUGUAUUUGAUAUUUGUAAAUAGAGUACAUGUUUUUUUUUUCAGAAUUUGAUUGUUUUACAGUAAUCA